AACGAACGCUGGCGGCAGGCUUAACACAUGCAAGUCGAACGCCCCGCAAGGGGAGUGGCAGACGGGUGAGUAACACGUGGGAACGUGCCCUUUGGUUCGGAACAACUCAGGGAAACUUGAGCUAAUACCGGAUGUGCCCUUCGGGGGAAAGAUUUAUCGCCAUUGGAGCGGCCCGCGUCUGAUUAGCUAGUUGGUGGGGUAAAGGCCCACCAAGGCGACGAUCAGUAGCUGGUCUGAGAGGAUGAUCAGCCACAUUGGGACUGAGACACGGCCCAAACUCCUACGGGAGGCAGCAGUGGGGAAUCUUGCGCAAUGGGCGAAAGCCUGACGCAGCCAUGCCGCGUGAAUGAUGAAGGUCUUAGGAUUGUAAAAUUCUUUCACCGGGGACGAUAAUGACGGUACCCGGAGAAGAAGCCCCGGCUAACUUCGUGCCAGCAGCCGCCGUAAGAC
rnacentral:rRNA from 1 species